CCCUUAGAUGUUCUGGGCUGCACGCGCGCGACAAUGACGUUUGCAACGAGAUUGCGAGGCCGUCAGGUCGAGCUGAUCUUGCAAGCUGCGUCGUGAUAGGGACAGUCGAUUGCAAUUAUUCGACUCGAACGAGGAAUUCCUUGUAAUCGCGCAUCAUCAGUGCGCGCUGAAUACGUCCCUGCCCUUUGUACACACCGCCCGUCGCUACUACCGAUUGAAUGGUUUAGUGAGAUCUUCGGAUUGGCGCCACUGCGGCUCAGCAAUGGGCUCGGUGGAUGCCGAAAAGUUGAUCAAACUUGAUCAUUUAGAGGAAGUAAAAGUCGUAACA
rnacentral:rRNA from 1 species